rnacentral:rRNA from 1 species
AGAGUUUGAUCAUGGCUCAGAACGAACGCUGGCGGCGUGGAUUAGGCAUGCAAGUCGCACGUGAAAAGGGGGCUUGCUCCCUGAGUAAAGUGGCGAACGGGUGAGUAACGCGUGAGAAACCUGCCUUGUAGAGGGGAAUAACACUCCCAACGGAGUGCUAAUACCGCAUGAGCUCGAUGGAUCGCAUGGUACGUCGAGGAAAGAUGGCCUCUGCUUGCAAGCUAUCGCUACAAGAGGGUCUCGCGUCCGAUUAGCUAGUUGGCGGUGUAAAAGACCACCAAGGCGACGAUCGGUAGCUGGUCUGAGAGGAUGGUCAGCCACACUGGGACUGAGAUACGGCCCAGACUCCUACGGGAGGCAGCAGUCGAGAGGCUUCGGCAAUGGGGGAAACCCUGACCGAGCGACGCCGCGUGGAGGAUGAAGGCCCUUGGGUUGUAAACUCCUUUCGUGGGGGAAGAAUGUGCCCGAGGUAAAUAAUCUCGAGUAUUGACGGUACCCCAAGAAGAAGCUCCGGCUAACUCCGUGCCAGCAGCCGCGGUA